rnacentral:rRNA from 1 species
UACGGAGGAUGCGAGCGUUAUCCGGAUUUAUUGGGUUUAAAGGGUGCGUAGGCGGGCUUUUAAGUCAGCGGUAAAAAUUCGGGGCUCAACCCCGUCCGGCCGUUGAAACUGGGGGUCUUGAGUGGGCGAGAAGAAGGCGGAAUGCGUGGUGUAGCGGUGAAAUGCAUAGAUAUCACGCAGAACCCCGAUUGCGAAGGCAGCCUUCCGGCGCCUUACUGACGCUGAGGCACGAAAGUGCGGGGAUCGAACAGG